CAAAGGCUUGGUCCUGACUUUACUUUCAACUUUAGCUAAACUUACACAUGCAAGUAUCCGCACCCCUGUGAGAAUGCCCCCGUUCUCUAUUGAAAACAAGGAGCAGGUAUCAGGCACACCCCCCCCC
rnacentral:rRNA from 1 species